rnacentral:rRNA from 1 species
UGCCCUUCACUCUGGGACAAGCCCUGGAAACGGGGUCUAAUACCGGAUACCACCCUCCGAGGCAUCUCGGGGGGUUGAAAGCUCCGGCGGUGAAGGAUGAGCCCGCGGCCUAUCAGCUUGUUGGUGGGGUGAUGGCCUACCAAGGCGACGACGGGUAGCCGGCCUGAGAGGGCGACCGGCCACACUGGGACUGAGACACGGCCCAGACUCCUACGGGAGGCAGCAGUGGGGAAUAUUGCACAAUGGGCGAAAGCCUGAUGCAGCGACGCCGCGUGAGGGAUGACGGCCUUCGGGUUGUAAACCUCUUUCAGCAGGGAAGAAGCGAAAGUGACGGUACCUGCAGAAGAAGCGCCGGCUAACUACGUGCCAGCAGCCGCGGUAAUACGUAGGGCGCAAGCGUUGUCCGGAAUUAUUGGGCGUAAAGAGCUCGUAGGCGGCUUGUCACGUCGGUUGUGAAAGCCCGGGGCUUAACCCCGGGUCUGCAGUCGAUACGGGCUAGCUAGAGUGUGGUAGGGGAGAUCGGAAUUCCUGGUGUAGCGGUGAAAUGCGCAGAUAUCAGGAGGAACACCGGUGGCGAAGGCGGAUCUCUGGGCCAUUACUGACGCUGAGGAGCGAAAGCGUGGGGAGCGAACAGGAUUAGAUACCCUGGUAGUCCACGCCGUAAACGUUGGGAACUAGGUGUUGGCGACAUUCCACGUCGUCGGUGCCGCAGCUAACGCAUUAA